CCCCCCCCCCCCUGACUUUGAGAAGCUCCAACACGACAUGCAUAAAGCACAACCAUCUCAUUAGUGCUGGUGAGACACAUCAUGUCCAGGGGGGACCCUUUGUUCAGGGCAGGUGGGGCAGAAGCCACGACAGGUGAUCCACCACCUAUUUUUGGGGGGCCUGUUUUGCAUGUUAUUUUAAUACAGGUAACAUAUCAGUUUGCAAACAAUGUAUGUUGUGUAGUAAGCUGUUAGUAGCCCAUGUGCUUCACCAUAAUAAUUUGCUCCAUUUUCCCCUCAUAACAUAGCCUACUGUUCUGACUUGGUGGUGCACAUUCAGCCUAUAGCCUGUUUUAGAGAAAUGUUACCAUCAAAUAUUGUAAGAGCUUUCAUUGUCUGCUUAUAGACCACACUUAUGACUUGGUUGUCAGGGAGAACACUGUAAGAACAGCCCAUGUUCUCAAUUCUGUCGCAGUACAUUUCAAAAGUGCUGAACAAAUAGUUAUAUUGACUACGUCAGUCCUAGCUCGCUCAUUAAUGUCUUAAUCAAUGUUAUGGAUUGCCUCUUAUCCGCUCAUUGUCCCCUUAUGCAAUAGUUUGUACAUCUCAAUUGCAAGAAGACACCACAUCUGUUUAGCAAGUCAGCCAUAUCAGCUAUGCUUUUUUUAAAGGCAGUAAAUGAGGCUGAAUUAACUGUUUCGCUGCCAGACAAGGCUCUGCUGACAGCCAGGUGUAGCAGUGGUAAGGUGUUGGGACUGCUGUUGGGACUCUGCUGUUGGGACAGCUUUAUGCCCUACCAGUUUGUGAGCACGGUUUGUCACCGUUAUAUUGCAAUUCAUGUUUUGUUUAUUGUUGUGUUGUGUAGUGGCCUUUCUGGCAUGCAUAAAUCAAAAGUAAAAAAAUGCCACACCAAUAUUUACAUGCUAAAAUUGCCACUGAUCAUGUCAGUCUAAUUUGCAAUUCACUGUCAUAGCCCCACAUUAAAAAUAUGUGAGGGUGAGCUGAGAAAAUCUGAAAUAAGAAAUACUUUUAGAAUGUUUUUCAAUUGACUGCCACAGCACCAAAUAAAAAAAGUAUGAAUGGCAUUUAAAAAACAAAAAAUUUUGGGGGUUAAUUUGAAUUGUUUUAGGCGAUAAUUUUCAAAUAUCAAAAUGGGGUCGUGGGACAAAAAAGUUUGCGGAUCACUGGCAUAGAGUACAUAUUUGGCUUGCAGUAACUAAACUGGCCAGGGGGAGGGGCAGCUUUCCUAUAAAGUACUGUAAUGAGGGAGCCAAUAAGAUACAGAAGUCUUGAUGAAACCUGGACCCUCCCUGUUUCUCUACGUGAUUCUUGCUGGAAGGUUCAACUGACUGGUUACACAUUAACCAAAGGAGCUGGGGCAUGCUGUCUCAUUAUCAAAUAUUUCUGUUUUCAAAAUUAUGGCUACUCAAUAGCCUUUAGCAUUAGCAAUUUGGAAAUGGGAAGUUGGAAUGAAUAAUAUUUGAGACUAUAGGUGGUACAUAUACAACAAAACAGGCCAUUCAUAUAUACACAAGGUGCCGUGGUUGAGUAUUGGAGAAGGACAAGACACAGCGUUGUUCUGGGACUAUUUGACUGUUAGCUAUUACCAUUUAGCCACCAUCACCAUGGGUAAAGCUGUGUCAGAUAUAGAUACUUAAGAGCUGGAUUCAAUCUGUAUUGUGAAAUGUAAAAGCAAUUUUCCGAUUGAGCCGACAUACAGUAUGCAGCAUUUACCGUGAAUGCAGUCUCCACAAAUUCUUGAACAUUGUCUUUAAAAUUAAAUCGAGCUAUAACGUGGAUCUGCAACACUUCUGCGAUAUGGAUUGAAUCCAGCCCUCAAUCAUUAGCCCUAAAUACAUGAUGUGAUGUAUUGGGGAAUAUUUGACUGUUAGCUGUUACCAUUUAGCCACCAUCUUCAUGGCAAUAGCCACCAUCACCAUGGAUGUUGUGGCUCAAAACCAGAAGAACAGAGUUCUGACUCAACUGCAGAGCAAGAAAACCCUUUACAGACAGGAACUCAGUUCAAACCAUCUCCUAAGAAAGAUGCAUCAGCAAGAUCCAUCAAGGAGACUGCAAAGUUCGAUAUAAAUCAAGCACGCUCACAUGAAGUGGAUGUUAGUCUGGAUGUGGACACUGCUCACCCUAAGCUGAAGAUACAUGGGAACUCACUACAGUGGACUAAUGAAUCACCACAGAGAAAAAUUGAAGUUGAAAACUGUUUUGAUGAAGAGCCUUUUGUGUUGGGCAAAAUGGGCAGUCCUUUGAAGACUUACUGGGAGGUGAAUGUGAAGGAGAAGGAUGACUGGGUGCUUGGCGUUGCCAAGGAAACGGCUGACAGGAAGGGGCCGUUGGCUUUCAGUCCAACUAAUGGAUUCUGGGUAAUCAGACUAUCCAAUGGGCAAAGACUUAAAGCCAUGGAGGAUGAAGAACACGUUCUUGACAAAGGUAUUCCAGAUAAAGUUGGUAUCUAUCUAGAUUAUCAGGAAAAGAAGGUGACUUUCUUUAAUGCAGAAGAAGGUUCGCUCAUCUACUCAUUUAUCAAUGGACCAAGUUAUCAGGAUGAUGUCCGCCCACUUUUCUCACCCUGGAACAACGAUGCAAAACCAAUCACAAUUUUGCCCAUCACAGCAACAUAGAAAAACAUAAUUCAUCACAUACCCUGUAUGUCAAUAGCUUAUUGUGGUAUAAAGCUAUGUGAAUCAUUUUCGAUUAAGUGAUGUACAGAAUUGUGGAUUAAUUCUCAUCCUUUGCUGUCAUCUAACCAGGCAUCAAUGUUGUGUUCCCUAUUCUUUAUUAAUAUAUUAGACAUUCAUUAUUUCAGUAGGGUAUUGUGUGUGACAUUAAACAUGCAUUUUUGUUUUAAAACAUG